rnacentral:rRNA from 1 species
GACGAACGCUGGCGGCGUGCUUAACACAUGCAAGUCGAACGGAAAGGCCCUGCUCUUGUGGGGUGCUCGUGUGGCGAACGGGUGAGUAAAACGCGAGUAUCCUGCCCUUGUCUUUGGGAUAACUCUACGAAAAUGGGGCUAUUAUCGCAUAUGAUCUCUUGCUCCAUGUUGGGGGUUGGUAAGUUUCGGCGGUUCGGGAUCGACUCGAGGCUUAUCAGCUUGUUGGUGGGGUAGUUGCUUUCAAAGGCUAUGACGGCUAGCCGGCAUGAGAGGGUGAACGGGCACAUUGGGACUGAGAUACGGCCCAGAAUCGAACGGGAGGCAGCAGUGGAGAAUAUUGCAGAAUGGGCGGAAGCCUGAUGCAGCGACGCCGCGUGCGGGAUGACGGGCUUCGGGUUGUAAACCGAUUUCGACUGUGACGAAGCGAGAGUGACGGUAAUGGGUAAGAAAGCAACGGCUAACUACGUG